rnacentral:tRNA from 1 species
GGCGGAGUAGCUCAGUUGGCUAGAGCACACGGUUCAUACCCGUGGUGUCGGCGGUUCAAAUCCGUUCUCCGCUACUA